GAUGAACGCUAGCGACAGGCUUAACACAUGCAAGUCGAGCGGCAGCACAGGUAGCAAUAUUGGAUGUCGACCGGCGCACGGGUGAGUAACACGUAUGCAACUUACCUAUCAGAGGAGGAUAACCCGCCGAAAGUCGGACUAAUACCCCAUAAAACCAUGGUCCCGCAUGGGGAUAUUGUCUAACGGCUCAUCGCCGCUAGAUAGGCAUGCGUUCCAUUACGCAUUUGGCGGGGUAACGGCCCCCCAAACCGUCGAUGGAUAGGGGUUCUGAGCGGUAGGUCCCCCACAAUGGUACUGAGGAAAGGAGCAAAAUCCCAAGGGAGGCAGCAGUGAGGAAUAUUGGUAAAAGGCCGAGAGGCUGAACCAGGCAAGUCGGGUGAGAGAAGAAGGUUCUAUGGAGCGUAAACCUGCUUUAUCAGGGAGAAAAGUGCGGGACGUGCGCCGUAUUGUAGGUAACUUAUGAAUAAGGAACGGCUAACUCCGUG
rnacentral:rRNA from 1 species